rnacentral:rRNA from 1 species
CAAGUCGAGCGGAAAGGCUCCUUCGGGGGUACUCGAGCGGCGAACGGGUGAGUAACACGUGAGUAAUCUGCCCUCCACUUCGGGAUAACUGCCUGAAGGGGUGGCUAAUACCGGGUAUUCUCCUUGCACCGCAUGGUGUGGGGUGGGAAGUUUUUUCGGUGGGGGAUGUGCUCGCGGCCUAUCAGCUUGUUGGUGGGGUAAUGGCCUACCAAGGCUUUGACGGGUAGCCGGCCUGAGAGGGUGACCGGCCACACUGGGACUGAGACACGGCCCAGACUCCUACGGGAGGCAGCAGUGGGAAUAUUGGACAAUGGGCGGAAGCCUGAUCCAGCAACGCCGCGUGAGGGAUGACGGCCUUCGGGUUGUAAACCUCUUUCAGCACAGACGAAGCGCCUGUGAAGGUGGUGACGGUAUGUGCAGAAGAAGCACCGGCCAACUACGUGCCAGCAGCCGCGGUAAUACGUAGGGUGCGAGCGUUGUCCGGAAUUAUUGGGCGUAAAGGGCUCGUAGGCGGUUUGUCGCGUCGGGAGUGAAAUCCACUGGCUUAACUGGUGGCUUGCUUUCGAUACGGGCAGACUGGAGGUAUGCAGGGGAGAACGGAAUUCCUGGUGUAGCGGUGAAAUGCGCAGAUAUCAGGAGGAACACCGGUGGCGAAGGCGGUUCUCUGGGCAUGUCCUGACGCUGAGGAGCGAAAGUGUGGGGAGCGAACAGGAUUAGAUACCCUGGUAGUCCACACCGUAAACGUUGGGCGCUAGGUGUGGGAUCCAUUCCACGGGUUCCGUGCCGCAGCUAACGCAUUAAGUUAUCCGCCU